GUAUUUUCUAUAGUUUUAAGAGUUCAGAAUAAGUAUUCAAUUCGUUUUUGUAAAUAGUUUUGUUAUUUCUAUUAUGCGUGUUUCAAUAUGUUUUAUUUUAAUGUGCGUGUUUCGAUAUGCUUUAUUCAAUUUCGUUCAGUCUUUAUUCCUGUAGAUAAUUAAACGAUGCGACAUUUUCAGGCAUUUAACUAUUUUAGUUCGUUUAAGCAUUUAGAAGUAAUUUUGUAUAUAGUUAGUUAUGGUUUUCUUUUAGUACUUUAAGUUCUUUUAUUUUUGGGUCAUUGUUCAUAUCACUGCAGAGUUACUCCCCUUAUAGAAGUAGCGUUUAUUUCGACAAAACAGAAAAUGAUGUGUUCUUCAUUCAUUCGACUAUUCAAGGUGUCUUAUAGUGUUCAAUUAUUCAUAUUAUUAUGCGUAACAUUCAAUUCUUCAUGCACAUACAUUAUAAACAUUUUCUCAGGUCAAUUAUUCAUUCAAACGGCCAGUGCAUAGAAAAGGGGGGUGCUCUUGCAUUCAUGUUUUAUUUGUGUUUGUCAGUUAUAUUUAUCUGGCACAUUGUACAUAGCUUUUGGUUAAAUAUUUUAUAUAGUUUAGUAAGAACUACAUUAAUUGUUUAUUCAGAAACAGGUUUAAAUGAGAUAAACCUACUUUGGCAUUGUUUCCAUAGAAACUGUAAAAUAUAGUAUUCAAAUUAUCUCCCUUUAUUUAUAUUUAAUUCCCCCAGUUCAAGUUCAUAUUUAUAUUUAAUUCCCCCAGUUCAAGUUCAUAUUUAUAUUUCAUUCCCCCAGUUCAAGUUCAUAUUUAUAUUUCAUUUUUAUAUUUAAUUCCCCAGUUCAAGUUCAUAUUUAUAUUUCAUUUUUAUAUUUCAUUCCCCCAGUUCAAUUCACAUUUAUUAUUUCAAGUGAGCUAGUCUUACCCCUAUUCAUUUAAAGUGAACUAUACUUUUGGGUGGGUUAAUUAUUCUUAUUCGCAUUAUUCAAAUACCAGAGUUACUGAUAUAUUUAAUUAUAUUCAUUGUUUCUAUAUGUAUGUUUUUAUUAUGUAUGUUCAUUGUUCAUUGUAUUAUUAUUAUACACUUGCAUUCGUGACCAGCAAACAAUAAACAUCUAUUUUUAUACAAGCUUGUUCUUAUUCCAGUAUUCUAAGUUCCAGUUCAGUGCAGUUCCAGCACAAGUUCAUACAAGCAGUACACGGUCACUCACACUACAUAAACAAACACCAGCAAGUCCAGUAACUCUGUAUUACCCUACCCAAACAAAGUUCACAGAUUCGUAAAAGUGCUAUUCCUCUAAAUUUUAUUUGUUUAAUCGGACGUCGUAGAGUAUAAAUUUGAUUUUUUUUUACCGUAUUGUGUAUUGCAUUGAAACACGAAAACGGACCUCGAUGAGAACACCUGGAUUGAAAGUUUGCAAACGUUCCGACCAAUGAAAUUCAUUUUACUAUGUAACGCGAACUUCAACGAAAGCACCUAGAUGAAAUAUUGUGUAUUGCAUUGAAACACGAAAACGGACCUCGAUGAGAACACCUGGAUUGAAAGUUUGCAAACGUUCCGACCAAUGAAAUUCAUUUUGAUAUGUAACGCGAACUUCAACGAAAGCACAUAGAUGAAAUAUUU
rnacentral:lncRNA from 1 species